UGCCUCUCUGGGCCUGCAGGUCUUCUCUCGA
rnacentral:piRNA from 1 species